rnacentral:rRNA from 1 species
GACGAACGCUGGCGGCGUGCUUAACACAUGCAAGUCGAACGGGUCUGCCCUGUUUUUUGCGGGGUGGGUCAGUGGCGAACGGGUGAGUAACACGUGAGUAACCUGCCCCUCACUUCUGGAUAACCGCUUGAAAGGGUGGCUAAUACGGGGUGUUCUGGCUGUGCCGCAUGGUGUGGCUGGGAAAGAUUCACUUUUGUGGUGUUUUGGUGGGGGAUGGGCUCGCGGCCUAUCAGCUUGUUGGUGGGGUGAUGGCCUGCCAAGGCUUUGACGGGUAGCCGGCCUGAGAGGGUGGGCGGUCACACUGGGACUGAGGUACGGCCCGGACUCCUGCGGGAGGCAGCAGUGGGGGGUAUUGCACAAUGGGCGGAAGCCUGAUGCAGCGACGUCGCGUGAGGGAUGGAGGCCUUCGGGUUGUGAACCUCUUUCGCCGGUGAAGAAGGUCCUGCUCUUUGUGGUGGGGUUGACGGUAGCCGGGUUAUGAAGCGCCGGCUAACUACGUG